UGGGGAAUAUUGGACAAUGGGCGAAAGCCUGAUCCAGCCAUGCCGCGUGUGUGAAGAAGGCCUUUUGGUUGUAAAGCACUUUAAGCGAGGAGGAGGCUACUUGGAUUAAUACUCUAGGAUAGUGGACGUUACUCGCAGAAUAAGCACCGGCUAACUCUGUGCCAGCAGCCGCGGUAAUACAGAGGGUGCGAGCGUUAAUCGGAUUUACUGUGCGUAAAGCGUGCGUAGGCGGCUUCUUAAGUCGGAUGUGAAAUCCCUGAGCUUAACUUAGGAAUUGCAUUCGAUACUGGGAAGCUAGAGUAUGGGAGAGGAUGGUAGAAUUCCAGGUGUAGCGGUGAAAUGCGUAGAGAUCUGGAGGAAUACCGAUGGCGAAGGCAGCCAUCUGGCCUAAUACUGACGCUGAGGUACGAAAGCAUGGGGAGCAAACAGG
rnacentral:rRNA from 1 species